UACGGAGGGUGCGAACGUUAAUCGGAAUUACUGGGCGUAAAGCGCGCGUAGGCGGUUCGGUAAGUGGGAUGUGAAAGCCCUGGGCUCAACCUGGGAACUGCAUUCCAAACUGCCGAGCUAGAGUAUGGUAGAGGGAGGUAGAAUUUCCUGUGUAGCGGUGAAAUGCGUAGAUAUAGGAAGGAAUACCAGUGGCGAAGGCGGCCUCCUGGAUCAAUACUGACGCUGAGGUGCGAAAGCGUGGGGAGCAAACAGG
rnacentral:rRNA from 1 species